rnacentral:rRNA from 1 species
CUACGGGUCGCAGCAGUGGGGAAUAUUGCACAAUGGGCGCAAGCCUGAUGCAGCCAUGCCGCGUGUAUGAAGAAGGCCUUCGGGUUGUAAAGUACUUUCAGCGAGGAGGAAGGGAGUAAAGUUAAUACCUUUGCUCAUUGACGUUACCUGCAGAAGAAGCACCGGCUAACUCCGUGCCAGCAGCCGCGGUAAUACGGAGGGUGCAAGCGUUAAUCGGAAUUACUGGGCGUAAAGCGCGCGCAGGCGGUUUGGUUAGUCAGAUGUGAAAUCCCCGGGCUGAACCUGGGAACUGCAUCUGAUACUGGCAAGCUUGGGUCUCGUAGAGGGGGGUAGAAUUCCAGGUGUAGCGGUGAAAUGCGUAGAGAUCUGGAGGAAUACCGGUGGCGAAGGCGGCCCCCUGGACGAAGACUGACGCUCAGGUGCGAAAGCGUGGGGAGCAAACAGGAUUAGAUACCCUAGUAGUC